AUUGACGCUGGCGGCAGGCCUAACACAUGCAAGUCGAGCGGAUGAAGGGAGCUUGCUCCUGGAUUCAGCGGCGGACGGGUGAGUAAUGCCUAGGAAUCUGCCUGGUAGUGGGGGAUAACGUCCGGAAACGGGCGCUAAUACCGCAUACGUCCUGAGGGAGAAAGUGGGGGAUCUUCGGACCUCACGCUAUCAGAUGAGCCUAGGUCGGAUUAGCUAGUUGGUGGGGUAAAGGCCUACCAAGGCGACGAUCCGUAACUGGUCUGAGAGGAUGAUCAGUCACACUGGAACUGAGACACGGUCCAGACUCCUACGGGAGGCAGCAGUGGGGAAUAUUGGACAAUGGGCGAAAGCCUGAUCCAGCCAUGCCGCGUGUGUGAAGAAGGUCUUCGGAUUGUAAAGCACUUUAAGUUGGGAGGAAGGGCAGUAAGUUAAUACCUUGCUGUUUUGACGUUACCAACAGAAUAAGCACCGGCUAACUUCGU
rnacentral:rRNA from 1 species